GUCAGCAACUUGAUUCCAGCAA
rnacentral:miRNA from 8 species